rnacentral:rRNA from 1 species
AAGUCGUAACAAGGUUUCCGUAGGUGAACCUGCGGAAGGAUCAUUACCAUGAGACAUUCUUUUUGGUGUAUGGGUUGAAGUUUGAAAUAUAACUUCGCUCUGCCAAAGGAAGACCUCCCACCCUGUGUUUACCUUUUAAAUGUGGUCUUUGGCAAUUCCGUUUUUCUGAAUGUCUUUUCCCUCUUGGGGGGAGAGGCUGGAUGAGACCGCUGGCAAGAAAUUGCGAGUGAGUGAUUGCCAAAGUUUUUACCAAAACUCUUUACAAUAUAUACAAUGUAGUCUGAGAAACAAAAACAAAAUAAAACAAAACUUUCAACAACGGAUCUCUUGGUUCUGGCAUCGAUGAAGAACGCAGCGAAAUGCGAUACGUAAUGUGAAUUGCAGAAUUUAGUGAAUCAUCGAAUUUUUGAACGCAUAUUGCACCUUAGAGUAUUCUUUAAGGUAUACCUGUUCGAGCGUCGUUUAGAACAAUAAAGCAUUGCUUUUUGAUGGAUUUUGAUGAGUGGCCUUGCAAAAGGACGAAUUUCAACUUCCCAAACAGAGUGGCGUCUACUUAGCUUGUGCCAAUGUACAGUAAAAAUGCUACAAGGGAGAAGCAUAAAGUAAAUCAGCACGCAAGAAUAAAAAACCCAAUUAAAUGUUCGACCUCGAAUCAAGUAAGACUACCCGCUGAACUUAAGCAUAUCAAUAAGCGGAGGAAAAGAAACCAACAGGGAUUACCUUAGUAACGGCGAGUGAAGCGGUAAGAGCUCAAAUUUGAAAUCUCCUAACAAGGCGAAUUGUAAUUUGUAGAGGAAUGUUCGGCGAAAUCUUGAUCCAAGUCUUCUGGAAGGAAGCGCCACUGAGGGUGAGAGCCCCGUUAGGAUUAAAGAUGUAGCCAUGUGUACAUCCUUCGAAGAGUCGAGUUGUUUGGGAAUGCAGCUCAAAACGGGUGGUAAAUUCCAUCUAAAGCUAAAUAUUGGCCAGAGACCGAUAGCGCACAAGUAGAGUGAUCGAAAGAUGAAAAGCACUUUGGAAAGAGAGUGAAAAAGUACGUGAAAUUGUUGAAAGGGAAGCGCUUGCAAGCAGACUUGAGAGUAGUGUUCAGCUGGUGAUUUCACCGGUGUAUUUCAUUGCAUUCAGGCCAACAUCGGUUUCUUGGGUCGGAAAAAAGCAGAGGGAACGUGGCUCUUCGGAGUGUUAUAGCCCUUUGCAGAAUACGGCCAUAUUGGAGACCGAGGACCGCCUCUUUUGUAGGAUGUUGGCGUAAUGGUUGUAAGCGGC